UCGAACAAAAAAUGUAUAACAUGAUCCAAAAACUUUCCUAAAUGUGGAUUUACAUGUUAUCUUUCUUUGCUGUUUUGACUUGCAUUAAAAAUGUGUUUUUUCUUCUAAAUGCUUUUUAAAGUUCUUAAGUUACCACUAAGUUCAAACAUUAUCGUCUAUGGUUGAGAUUUUCAGGUGGAUACAAGGUGGUAGAUGCCAACACUCCAGUGAACUUCAAUGGCACUUGGACAUACCUAACCUACCUAACUAGAUUCCAGAAAAUGGAGGAGAGGGAGGGGAGCUGCUGAUUAGAGAACCCAUUCUUAUCUUCAGUGAAUUAUCAUUAAUGAUGGUCUUCUGCAGGGCUUCUCCAUCCCUUUCCAUUCGAGUCUUGUUGCCAUUUAUUGAGACACUGUAGGUUUUUGCCAUGUGGGACUCCCCAUGGUGGUUUGCUGAGUCUUGGAUCCUUAGAGGUCUGGCCUCUAGUCAUGUUAAUACAGGAACGUAAAAGAAUGGCAACUAAACAGGUAAGAUGAACUCAAAAUGGCUUUGCUUGGCUUUGUGACCAGGCAGGUCACUGGUGUCUCACUGUCCUGAGCUUUCCCCCCUUCUUGAGGUGUGAGUUACUUUGGGUCUUACACCCUUCUCAUCUCCUUAUUGGCCCCGUUGGGCUCUUGUUAAUGUGCUCUCUCCAAGUGGACCUUUCCCAUGCUAGCACUAGGCCAGGUCUGGCUUUGUCUCAGAGUGGCUACUCUCAUGCCCCCAAGAGACCUGUGCUCCCUCCCAGUCACCUGUGGGUGAAUCCCUGGUCUGUGGGCAUUUCCAGUGGGCCCGUGCAGUUUGGGUUCUGCUUUGGGGAGUUUUGUCCCAGUUACCCACUGUGGGUGGCCCCUGGGUACCUGUUCCUGGCUCCACUGGGGUAGGGUCUUCAGGCAGGGGUCUCUGGGCACAUGCUCUGCCCCUGUUGUGCCAUGGGUAGGGCCUGGCUUAGUUCUGCCUACCAAGGGGCCUGCCAGCAGCAUAUCUCCGGUGCUUCCAGGAGACACAUACUCACGACUUUCCCACAAGUCACCAUCAAGGGGCAUGCAGCUAACUGCCAUGUGGAGAGCAGCUGGCUCUGUGGGGAAGACAUCUCACACCUCCUUGACUUCCCCCACAGUGGGGAGAGAACCUAGCUCUUCCCUGAGUGCUCUGCUGGGGGCAGAAACCAAUCGGAGAACCAAGAACUUGGGACUCUGGGCCAAUCAGAAGUUACUUCCAGCUUGCGCAAUGCUGGCUCACCUGCAUGUGUUCUGGCUGCCCAUGAUGUCUUGGGCAGGUGAGUCAGUAGGGGGACUGUCACAGCAUCUUGUCUAUAUCUUCCCCAAGAGUCAGGCUUUGUGGAUGGACAACACUUCCCAUAAUGCAUCCAUUGUCACAUGACUGCUAUUGUGUACUGUGUUGCAUCACAGGAGAAGCAGUCCAGCCCAGGGCACUUGAACAACAAGUUCCAUCAGGCAAGAAGCACCAGAGAAAGAUCAAUAAUGGAAUGAAACUGAGCAUCCCUUCUUCAAGCAUGGAUUCGUCAUAUGCUGGGGAAUUUAGAAACAGCAGAAAAAUACCAUCAAGUUGAAAAAAACAAAUAUUGGGAUUAUGAGGAACUACACAAAUACCAUGCCCCUUCCACAGCAUAUAAAGUACAAACUGUAGGCUUCGCAAGUGCGAACAGUUUAUCUGCUAGCUUGACUCUUUCCAUACCAGAGCUUGGUUCCCUACUUCCUUAUGCAUUGUGUAGGUACUUACUUCUGUGCAAAGUGGGUGUAUAAUGCAACUAAGAAUACAGUAUUUUUUUCAUUUGUAACCAUGAUUUAAAGAUGUCAGUGGACAAUGUUCAUAGGUAUCAACUGAGCAUAAGACUGAUUGUUCUUUGAAAUCUUUACAAAACUAUUCAACUUUUGAGAUGUAACUGGAUAUCAUGGUGAAAUGGGCCUUCUUGCAAGACUUUUUAUUCUUCUUGUCACUGGUUGGGCUAAAGCAUCAAAAAAUUACAAGGUGGUAUUCUACACCCCUCCCUCCAUGAAGGAGGCAAGAAAGGUAGAGAUGCAUAGAGCUGAAAUGUGAAAGUAAACUAAGCUUUUUCAUCCUCCCAAAGAGGUUUAUUUUAAAUAAAGUUCAAAUGCACAAUAGUGAGGGCAGGUUCUUGUUUAAAUGAACCAGCUCAUCUACCCAUAAUUAUGAAACAGAUUACUUUCAUUGUCUACAGGAUCUCACACUCCACAGUGACACCUUUUAAUGUUGCUAAUGUCUAUGUUAGGCAAAUAUGGGUUGUGUCAAUGAACUAAAAAUUCAAAACAUGGAUCAAUGGGAGGGCAUUAGAUUAGCAUAUGCUACAUUAGCAGUGCCAUGGUACAUGUUAAAAAAAGAGAAAGAGAAGAGAGAGUUCUGCAGUUGCUUAAAGAGGACUGGCUCAGUUUCACCUCUUACUGGGAGGUUAUGGCUGCGUGUACACCCAGCCUGUCUUUCUCUGGACCACUCGCAGCUAUAUACUCUGCCUAAUAAUCUUAUUUGGGUAUUUAAAAGUUUUGUGUGAACAACAACAGUAUCUAGUUUGUGGGCCCCAGUUUUUUUUUUAAAUUUCCGUCUAUCUCUGGUGUCUUUUUAUGUUUAUCUCAUAUCUCUGAGCAGAGUCUGCAGGUCUUGAGAUGUGAGCUGAUUUUUACAAAGGAGACAUCUUUGCUUAGCAUGAUUUAAGUGAGAGAGACAAUUUCAGCAUUUAUCUCAUUUAAAUAACAAGGAAAGCCCAGAUACUGCUUGUAUCUGAGAAAAGAUAGUCAUACAAGUGUACUGUGGAGACAUUCAGGAUGCUAAUUAUCUCUAGACAUUUCUAAGUAGAUAACUUUUCUUGUUUAUAUAUUGGAUUUUUCUUUUCAUUUUUAUUUCGCACACAAUUUUUGAAAACUUUGGAUGUGCAUAUGGACAUUGUACAGAAUCCAGGAAUGAAAGUUGACAAGAACACUUUGCCAAAAUUUCUGAUACGCUCCCAUUACCUCUACCACAAACUUGGCUUUAAUCUUAUUGAGUUAUUAUUGAUUUCUGUUAAUAGUGGAGAUUGCUAAUACAAUAUGACAGUCUACUUGUAUCAGCAGUUUCAAUUAGAUCACGGAUAACAGAUUGCAUAUUCUGUCUGUUCUACUUCUGUGACCUGUCUUUUCAAAUUAACUUUCACAAUUAAAACCAUUUAGUGAGACAGUUUGGAUAGACUGUUGAGCCUUGUGAUGAUGCACCAGCACUUAAAAAAGAAAGAGCUAAAGAACCUUUCUUUUUCACUCCCAAAUCCCUUUGCAGAGAGGAGGAAAAAACAUUGUUUUGUGUUCAAAAAGUACAAGGCCUGAGCUUGUCUGGCACCUUUUACAAUCAUUUUGAUUCACUUAAUGGACAGACAGGAAAUGGCCAAUGGCCUUCACAAUUUCUGUUCCUGGGUCUACAGAAGGAUGGUAUGUGCAGUGUCAGAGUGGCUUUGUGUGCCUAUCUGGUAUUAACUGUUCUCAUUGUGAUAUGUUGCUGUUUGGUACAUUCAGAGGAGUUUUAAAAUUAUCCUUGGAAGAAGGAAUUAAAUAAUAAAAUUUUCACUUGACUAUCUAUUAGUAAUUAACUUUCUGCUUUUUACACCCAAAAGUGUGAUGUACUUUCCUCCCAAAUGGUUGGUCUUCUCAGCUUAGCUGGGAAGAGCCACUUAGGUAUCAGGGGAUUCAGUGGAGCCACAGGCAUUGUUGGAGGCCCCAUACAGCUUCUGGGAACAGCAACAGGAUGGUAGGUUGAAGUAGACAGCUGUGCUGGUCAGUCCGAGAUGCUGGAUUCAAAAAAUGCACUGCCCUAUGUGGGGGUGCCAAGAUGGCACAAAUCCUCUGAGGCUUCCAAAAUAAAUGGCCACCAAUGAAAACUUUUAUCUUGGUCACAGGAAAUUCUGCUUGGCUGGGAAGAGGAAGCAUCUCAUUAUCAAGUCUAGUGCUUUAUGAGACCAUCCUUCCUGUGCAAGUGUUCUUACUUUUUCUUAUCUGACGGUUUCCAACCAUGGAUUUGAGCUCUCUCUUCUCUUUCUCUCUUUUUGUUAGAAGAGUAUAUUAAGACUUUAGUUGCAUACAGGUAGUGACAUUCAUUCUCUGACACUCAUAAGAUGAGGUUAUUAUGCACUACAUGCCUUUAAAAUCUAAUUCACUGCACAUAUACUAUUUUACUUUUAUUGUCAUGUUUGGUUAUGUUAAAAAUGAUUAUAUUCUCUUUUUGUGAGUGUGUUAUGUAUUAUUUUUAACAAAAAAUUUGAACGUGACAAAAGUAAUACAGGACCCUAUUGUGCAGAAAUGCACUUUCCACAGAUAUUUGCAUUUUCACCAAUGAAAUCACACCAUGAUUCAGAGAAACGGUGUCUGACUAAGCUGCUUCUGUCCUAUUUCAUGUUUUGGCUGCAUCAGAAAAUUGCAGAAGAAUAAGGAAUUGCAGGGUAUGUGUGAAUUGCAGCUCUUAAAGAAUGGUGGGUUAUAGUUUGAAUGAGGAAUGUUCAACAGAAUAAUGACACACCCACAUAGGGGCUGACCUAUAUUCAUCUGGACAGGAGCCCUUAAACCAAAAAUGGUGGCUUCUUAGUUUCUGUCGAUAAGAACAGGAACUUACAAAUUCAGUAUUAUAAAGAGCUUAGUUGAAACACUUCAGUUUAUACAUUGAUUUGGACCAGCAUAGUACAUUUAUUUGAUUUUAAAUUUCCCACAUACAUUAAGAUAUCCAGUUCAUUUACUUACAUAGUGGCAAGGGAUAUUCUCAUUGGGUAAUAACUUUUCCCCCCUUCUUUUGAGCAUAGCUGUUUACUUGUUGGAUGAAAUGUCCAUGUGCUGAUAAUCAUUUUUAUGGACACUGUCAUAGAGAUCAACUUUUAUUUUUGCUGGGGAGGGAGGGGCUAAGAUGAUGGACAUGUGGAAAGUUUUAUGCAUUUCAGGUGAUAGCCCUCUUCCCAAUGGGGGCUAGGGCCCUCAGCUCUCCAAGUAUUCAGCACCUCUGGAUGCUGUAAUUUCUGGAGGUCUUUUAAACUCCAGGCAUAGACAGAAUCAACUUUUCAUUUUGUGAGGUGAUAGAGAUUUGCUUUCUUUGCAUAAUUUAUUUUUUUCUCCACUGUCUCUUACCUGCUCAGAGUUAUGUUGUUUUUUCUUGGGGACAUCUCAGAGUUCUGGGUGUGCUUAAGACCAAUUUAUCUCUUCUGCAGCUGCUUACAGAGGACUUUUUCAGUUUUACCUCUUACUGGGAGGUUGUGGCCUCCCAGCCUGCCUCUCUCUGGACCACUCACAGUUAUCUACUCUGCCUAAUUGCUGGGCUUGCACAUGGGAGCAAGUGGACAGGGCUUGUUUCUAGGCAGUGGUUUCUGUGUUUCUUUCAACAAGGAAACAGUAUAGUUACAAGUUCUUCCAUUGCCUUCACUGAGCAGAAUCAGACACAGACAAAGAAAGACAAAAUCCUGUGUUGUAAUAACUUCAGUUUCAGUCAGAUAAGUCUCCAUCAGCUGCUCCCAUCAGAAGUGUCACCAAGCCUUAGAAGGAUUAUCCAUGUCUUAAACAGUUGCAUGGAAAUUCCUGUGAAAUACUUGUUAUGUUGCAAAGAUGAAAGGAGAGAUUAUGUACAUAUAGUCAAAUUGAUUGAUAUUUUUAUUCAGAUUUGUUGAGAAUUUGCUCCUUAGAAAAUUUUGAAUAAAAACUGCCCCAAAUAUUUGGGUAUUAUUUUGUCCAGAUGUCUUCAGUGUUUGAAGCCAUUUUGUCAAUGUUUUGGGGGGAAAAACUGAAAAGCCAUUGAACAUUUUAAAAUGUGUUCAUACUUUUCAAUGAUGCUUUUGAUCAGUGCAGAUAUGUCAGGGUGAGACUGCCUGAAGUAGUGUUAUUAGCCACUGCUCUGUAUCUGAUAAACAUUAUGAGGUAAACGUACCUGUUUUAAGUAGGUAAUAAGCAUCAAAGAAUCAUAGAAAAUUAGGGUUGGAAGGAACCUCAGGAGUUCAUCUAGCCCAGCCCCUUGGUCAAAGCAGGACUAUCCCCAACUAGAUCAUCUGAGCCAAAGCUUUAUCUAGCUGGGUCUUAAAAGCCUCCAAGGAUGGAGCUUCCACUACCUCUGUGGGUUACCUGUUCUAGUGUUUUACUACCCUUCCAGUGAUAAAAUGCUUCCUAAUAUCUAAGCUAAACUUCCCUUGUAGCAACUUGAGACUGUUGCUCCUUGUUCUUUCAUCUGCCACCACUGAGAACAGUCUAGCUUCAUCCUCUUUUGAACCCCACCCCCCUUCAGCUGGUUGAAGGCUGCUAUUAAUCCACUCUCAGACAGUUCCCUCAGGCUCUCCUCAGAAGUCAUGUGCCCCAGCCCGCUUUGCAAUUGUCCUCUUUGAAGCUCAUUAGAUUCUUUUUGGCUCAAUCCUCCAAUUUGUCUAGGUCAUUCUGAAUCCUAUCCCUACCCUCCAGCUUAUCCACUACUCCCCCCAGCUUGGUGUCAUCUGCACAUUCACUGAGGGUAUACUCUGUCAUCUUCCAGGUUGUUGAUGAAGACAUUGUAUGAAACCAGCCCCAGGACCGACCCCUGGGGCACUCCACUUGAUACCGGCUCCCAACUAGACACUGAGCCAUUGAUUACUACAUUCUGAGCCCAAUGCACCAGGCAAUUUUCUAUCCACCUUACAGUGCAUUCAUCCAGUCCAUACUUCCUUAGCUCACCUGCAAGAAUGUUGUGGGAGAUGGUAUCAAAAGUCUUGAUAAAAUCAAGGUGCACCACAUUUACUGGUCUCCCCGCAUCCACAGAACCAGUCACCUCAUCAUAGAAGGCAAUCAGGUUGGUCAGGCAUGACUUGCCCUUCAGUUUCAUACUGGAGCUCUAAGCAAUCAUAUGGCUCUUUAUGGAAAAGUGCAACCCCUCCUCUUCUUCUCUGCCUCUCCUUCCUGAACAGCUUGUAUCCAUCCAUGACACUGCUCCAGUCAUGCAGCUAUCCCACCAAGUCUGUGUUAUUCCAGUCUCAUCAUAGUUCCGUAAUUGUGCAGGGACUUCCAAUUGCUGAGUGGGUACAAUACCAAUUAGAAAAACUAGACAUUUAUAAGUCAGGAGGACCAGAUGGACUCCAUCUGAGAGUGCUGAAGGAGCUGGCUGAGGUCAUCGUGGAACCAUUGGCAAUGCUCUUUCAGAAUUCGUGGCAUACAGGGGAAAUCCGUGAGGAUUGGAAGAGGGACAACAUUGUGCCCAUCUUCAAAAAGGGGAAGAGGGAGGAUCCAAGCAACUAUAGGCCAGUCAGCCUAACCUCCAUCCCAGGGAAAAUCCUGGAAAAGCUCAUUAAAGAAUCUAUGUGUGAUAUGCUCGUAGAAGGUAAAAUGCUGAAUGACAGCCAGCAUGGCUUUGUUGCGAGUAGGUAUUGUCUUACCAAUCUCACCUCCUUCUAUGACCAGGUCUCUUGCCACCUGGACACAGGAGACGUGGUAGAUGUUAUCUAUACCUAGACUUCCAAAAGGCUUUUGAUCUAGUAUCCCACAAUAUCCUUGUGAGAAUCUUGGAAAAUUGUGGGCUCAGCUGCUCAAGGGUUCAGUGGGUAGGAUACUGGCUAUAGGGUAGGACCCAGAGAGUUCUCAUGAAUGGAUCUGUCGUCCUGGUGCAAAAUGGCCAGUGGUGUCCCUCAGGGGUCUGUGCUUGGAUCGGUGCUUUUCAACAUCUUUAUCAAUGACUUGGAUAGGGGAGUGAAAAGCUCGCUCGUCAACUUUGCAGAGGACACCAAGUUAUGGGGCAGUGUGGUCACAUCAGAAGAUAGGUUGCAGAUACAGGCAGACCUGGACAGGAUUGAGAGCUGGGCAGACUGGAACCAGAUGAAGUUUAACACUUCCAAGUGUAAGGUGCUCCAUCUGGGGGAAAACAACCCUCAACAUACAUACAGGCUCAGUGGUGACAUCUUGACUUGCACCACAGCUGAAAGUGACCUAGGGGUAAGGAUUGACCAUCAUAUGAAUAUGAGCCAUCAAUGCGAGGCGGUGCUCAGCAGGGCAAACCACACACUAGCAUGCAUAAACCGAUGCAUCUCGUGUAAAACGAAGUGAUACUCCCACUGUACUCAAUACUGGCGAGACCGCAGUUGGAGUACUGCAUGCAGUUCUGGGCACUGCACUUCAAUAAGGACAUGGAAAAACUUGACAGAGUCCAGAGAAGAGCCACCCAUAUGAUCAGGGACUUGCAAGGCAAGCCAUGUGAGAAAAGGCUGAGGGACCUGGGCCUCAUUAGCCUUAAGAAGAGAAGGUUGAGAGGAGACUUGAUAGCAGCUUACUGCUAUAUCAAAGGAGUGCAUCAGGAGCUUGGUGAACAACUGUUCGCUAGGGCACCCCCAGGGAAGACCAGGACCAAUGGAUACAAACUCCUGGAAGGCUGCUUCAGGCUUAAUACCAGGAAAAACUCCUUCACAGUCAGGGUGUCUAGACUGUGGAAUCAACUCCCUCCAGAGGUGGUGCAGUCACCUACCCUGGAGAUUUUCAAGAGGAGUCUAGACAGUCACCUCGCUGGGGUCACCUAACCCCAGCUGUCUUUCUGCCUAGAGCAUGGGGGCUGAACCCAAUGAUCUGCAAGGUCCCUUCCAGCCCCAAACAAUCUAUGAAUCUAUGAAUUCUUUCUGCUUGUUUCUCAGGCUCCAUGCAUUCAUGUAUAGGCACUUAAGGUUAUCAAGGAGCACAUCUGUGAUGGGCUGGCAUCGGGGAUGAUGCUCAAGGGCAACCAGCAACGUUUCAUUAGGGGCAGGUCAUGUCAGACCAACCUAAUUGCCUUUUAUGAUCAGGUCACAAAAGCAUUGGAUGCAGGUGUUGCCAUGGAUGUAGUCUUUCUGGACUUCAGCAAGGCCUUUGACACUGUUGACCACCCCAUCCUCAUUAAAAAACUAGGCGACUGUGGCAUUGAUGCCUACACAGUCAGAUGGAUUGCAAAUUGGCUGAAGGGUCAUACUCAGAGGGUGGUGGUGGACGGGUCAUAUUCGACCUGGAGGGAAGUGGGCAGCAGAGUCCCGCAGGGCUUGGUCCUUGGGCCCGCACUGUUCAAUUUCCUCAUCUGCUAUUUGGAUGAUGGGGUGAAAAGUAACCUGUUCAAAUUUGCUGAUGAUACCAAAAUUUGGGGUGAGGUGGGCACGCUAGUAGGGGGGGAAAGACUGCAGAAAGACCUGGAUAGGUUGCAAGGGUGGGCUAACAAAAACAGGAUGCUUUUCAAUACUGACAAGUGCAGGGUGCUGCACUUGGGCAAUAGUAACCAGCAGCACACUUAUACGAUGGGGAAACUCCCUUCUUGAGAGCAUGGAGGCAGAAAGGGAUCUUGGAGUCAUCCAAGAUGAACAUGGGCCGACAAUGCGAGGUCACGGUCGGCAGGGCUAACCGGACCUUAUUGUGCAUCCACAGGUGCAUCUCAAGUAGGUCCAAGGAGGUGAUCCUCUACACUACACUGGUCAAGCCACAGCUGGAGUACUGUGUCCAGUUCUGGGCACCCCACUUCAAAAGGGAUGUGAACAACAUUGAGAGGGUCCAGAGGAGGGCCACCCGCAUGAUCCGGGGACAGCAGGGCAGACCCUACAAUGAGAGGCUACGGGACCUGAACCUGUUCAGCGUUCACAAGAGAAGGCUGAGGGGGGAACUGGUGACUGUCUGUGAACUCACUAGGGGGGACCAGAAGGGUUUGGGGGAGACCUUGUUUCCCCUAGCGCCCCCCAGGAUAACAAGGAAUAACGGCCACAAGUUGUUGGAGAGUAGGCUUAGAUUAGACAUCCGUAAGAACUACUUCACAGUUAGGGUGGCUAGGAUCUGCUGGCUUCCAAGGGAAGUGGUGCUGGCUCCUACCCUGGGGGUCUUUAAGAAGAGGCUUGAUGCCUACCUGGCUGGGGUCAAUUGAGCCCAGUUUUCCUCCUGCCCAGACAGGGGGUUGGACUUGAAGAUCUACAAGGUCCCUUCCCACCCUACUUCUCUGAUUCUCUGAUUCUAUUAAUGUAACUAGUUGUUUGCCCUGAUUUCUCAGGAAGUAUGACAACACCUCCCCUGUUGCCCCCUCCUGCUUGCUCUUCCUCUAGGUCUCCCACUUCCCCACUUACCUCAGGGCUUUGGUUUCCAUCCCCUGUUGAACCUAGUUUAAAGCCCUCCUCUCUAGGUAAGUGAGCCUGUCUGCAAAGAUACUCUUCCCUCUCUUUGUCAGGUGGAUCCCAUCUCUUCCCAGCAAUCCUUUGUCUUAGAACAACAUCCCAAGGUUGAAGAAGCCAAAUCCCUGCUGAGGACACCAUGUGUGUGGUCAGGUGUUCAUCUGCAAGAUGCACCUGCUCCUGCCUGAGCUCUUUUCCUUGAGCAGAAGGAUUGAUUAGAACACAACCUGAGCCACAGACCCUGUCACCCUUGCACCCAGAGCCCUGUAGUCACUGUUGAUACACUCAGGGUCUCCCCUGGAAAUAUCAUUGGUGCCCACAUGGAUGAGCAGCAUGGGGUAGUAAUCAGAGGGCUGGAUGAGUCUCGAUAAUCCCUCCAUGACACCUUGGGUCCAGACUUUGGGGAAGCAGCAGCCUUCCUGAGACAACAGGUCAGAUCAGCAGAUAGCUCCCUCUGUCAUCAUCCCCGCCCCCCCCCUUCCGAAAGGAGUCUCUAACCACCACUAUCCAUCACUUCUUGGUAGUGGUUGUCUCUAUUCUUUUCAACUUAGUGAGGUCUGGCCUGUCCUCCUCCACCAAUGGAAUGUGCUUUCACUUGCCUUUCAGGCAUGAUAUUCUUUAUCCCCAUUCUGUUGUUUAACAGGAUCAAAACUAUUAGUAUUUCUAUUGCUAAUGUUACAUAUGGAAAUCGCUCAGUAGAAGACAACUUUUUCCUGUUUAGUGUAGCUUAGAAAUUUCAUCACCUUCAAGUCAUUUAUGAAACUAGAAAGUUGCCACUACCACCAAUACUUUAAAGUUUUGCCACUGACUUAAUCACAAAAAUUUAAAUUUUUGCGAGCACAGAAAAUACUUUGAAUCUUUAUUCCAUUGUGAAAGCCAGCUUACCUAUUUGGUCAGUGUAGCAGGGCAGUCUGUUUCUUUAAGAAGGAACAAUCAGCCCUAUUGAGAGACCCCAGCUGCAGGGUAUUUGGAUAGGCAGGGAGUGUCCUGCUAGAAGCCUUAAAAAAACUUGCAGAAGAGUGAGUGUUGGCCUCCUACAGUAGGAUGGAACUUUCAGAAUAUGUCCAUCUUGCGAAGGUCAGUGAGACCCUUUUGAGCAUGCUCAAUGGGGAAACUGUGGUGGUUGGCGACCAUGGUGGGUAUACUACUGAAGUGAAUGAAGGGGAAAAAAACAUGAUUCCAGCAGCCAGGUUGCAGAGUGUGUGGCAUUUGGGACCCAGAGAUAGCGUUCUGAAAGAAAGCACAAUGAAGUGGGGCAGGUAGACUGAAAUGAACUGUCCUAUUUAAAACACCAAUCCAGGCUGGGUAAGGUCUGGCUUCUACUGACAGAGAAGUAACAAAUCUGUCCACUCUCCCAGGAACUGAAGGAGGUUGAGGAGAAAUUUGGAUGACUUUUCUCUCAGUCAGAGAGGCAUGCAUCAUAUGCUGAGGACCAGCUCAGAAGAAGAAAUAUAAUACAUGAUCAUACAAGGGCCCCAGAAAAGGUGCAUUCAAUCUGCACUGAGAGCAACUCAGAAAAAAAAUGUGAUUUAAAAAAAAAGGUUUUCUUUGUAAGGUUUUCAUUUAUUGUUUGUUACCCAUUUGUUAUUGUAAUAAAAAGAUAAAUUUGGA